rnacentral:snRNA from 1 species
AGACCUCUCUCGGCCUUUUGGCUAAGAUCAAAUGUAGUAUCUGUUCUUAUCAGUUUAAUAUUUUUAUAUUCUACACUACCCAGAAUUGUUAUGAGAUGACAGAAUAGAAAUUGUGUAAAACAUCUCCAUCCCUA